rnacentral:tRNA from 1 species
UUCUAAUAUGGCAGAAUAGUGCAAUGGAGUUAAGUCCCAUAAAUAAAGUAAUACUUUUUUUAGAA